rnacentral:rRNA from 1 species
UGCGCAGGCGGAGUAUUAAGUCAGUGGUGAAAUCUCUCGGCUCAACCGAGAAAUUGCCAUUGAAACUGAUAUUCUUGAGUAUAGUUGUAGUAGGCGGAAUAUAGCAUGUAGCGGUGAAAUGCUUAGAUAUGCUAUAGAACACCGAUCGCGAAGGCAGCUUACUAAACUAUUACUGACGCUCAUGCACGAAAGCGUGGGGAGCAAACAGGAUUAGAUACCCUGGUAGUCC